rnacentral:rRNA from 2 species
GUCAGCGACUGGGGUGAAGUCGUAACAAGGUAGCCGUAGGGGAACCUGCGGCUGGAUCACCUCCUUU